rnacentral:rRNA from 1 species
UACGGAGGGGGCUAGCGUUGUUCGGAAUUACUGGGCGUAAAGCGCACGUAGGCGGCUUUGUAAGUUAGAGGUGAAAGCCCAGGGCUCAACCCUGGAAUUGCCUUUAAGACUGCAUCGCUUGAAUCAUGGAGAGGUGAGUGGAAUUCCGAGUGUAGAGGUGAAAUUCGUAGAUAUUCGGAAGAACACCAGGUGGCGAAGGCGACUCACUGGACAUGUAUUGACGCUGAGGUGCGAAAGCGUGGGGAGCAAACAGG